GCUGAUUUGGCCGAGUGGUCUAAGGCGGCGGUUUUAAGUCAUCUGGAUUUCGCGAGAAAUUUAGCAAUCUGAACACCGCUUCGGAAACGAGCCAGGGUUCGAACCCCUGAGUCAGCA
rfam:Glarea lozoyensis ATCC 20868 chromosome Tnknown GLAREA3, whole genome shotgun sequence.